rnacentral:rRNA from 1 species
AUUGAACGCUGGCGGCAGGCCUAACACAUGCAAGUCGAGCGGAUGAAGGGAGCUUGCUCCUGGAUUCAGCGGCGGACGGGUGAGUAAUGCCUAGGAAUCUGCCUGGUAGUGGGGGAUAACGUCCGGAAACGGGCGCUAAUACCGCAUACGUCCUGAGGGAGAAAGUGGGGGAUCUUCGGACCUCACGCUAUCAGAUGAGCCUAGGUCGGAUUAGCUAGUUGGUGGGGUAAAGGCCUACCAAGGCGACGAUCCGUAACUGGUCUGAGAGGAUGAUCAGUCACACUGGAACUGAGACACGGUCCAGACUCCUACGGGAGGCAGCAGUGGGGAAUAUUGGACAAUGGGCGAAAGCCUUAUCCAGCCAUGCCGCGUGUGUGGAGAAGGUCUUCGGAUUGUAAAGCACUUUAAGUUGGGAGGAAGGGCAGUAAGUUAAUACCUUGCUGUUUUGACGUUACCAACAGAAUAAGCACCGGCUAACUUCGUG